UACGUAGGGGGCAAGCGUUGUCCGGAAUCAUUGGGCGUAAAGAGCGUGUAGGCGGCCCGAUAAGUCCGCUGUGAAAGUCCAGGGCUCAACCCUGGAAUGCCAGUGGAAACUGUCGGGCUAGAGUCCGGAAGAGGCGAGUGGAAUUCCUGGUGUAGCGGUGAAAUGCGCAGAUAUCAGGAGGAACACCGAUGGCGAAGGCAGCUCGCUGGGACGGUACUGACACUGAGGCGCGAAAGCGUGGGGAGCAAACAGG
rnacentral:rRNA from 1 species